GCCUAUAGCUCAGCUGGUUAGAGUGCACCCCUGAUAAGGGUGAGGUCCCUGGUUCAAGUCCAGGUAGGCCCACCAUA
rnacentral:tRNA from 1 species